AACGAACGCUGGCGGCAUGCCUAACACAUGCAAGUCGAACGAGACCUUCGGGUCUAGUGGCGCACGGGUGCGUAACGCGUGGGAACCUGCCCUUAGGUUCGGAAUAACUCCCCGGAAAGGGGUGCUAAUACCGGAUAAUGUCUUCGGACCAAAGAUUUAUCGCCUUUGGAUGGGCCCGCGUUGGAUUAGCUAGUUGGUAGGGUAAAAGCCUACCAAGGCGACGAUCCAUAGCUGGUCUGAGAGGAUGAUCAGCCACACUGGGACUGAGACACGGCCCAGACUCCUACGGGAGGCAGCAGUGGGGAAUAUUGGACAAUGGGCGAAAGCCUGAUCCGGCAAUGCCGCGUGAGUGAUGAAGGCCUUAGGGUUGUAAAGCUCUUUUACCCGGGAUGAUAAUGACAGUACCGGGAGAAUAAGCUCCGGCUAACUCCGUG
rnacentral:rRNA from 1 species